UUGCUUCAGCAGCAUAUAUUCUAAAAUUGGAAUGAUACAGAGAAGAUGAUCGUGGCCCCUUUGCAAGGAGGGCACCCAAACUCAUGAAGCAUUCCAUAGGAGC
ensembl:snRNA LOC120093918 U6 spliceosomal RNA